CAAACCCCAUGUAUCCAUGAUCUGAUAAGCUGAAUCUGAGAUCAAAUAUCACACUGAUUAUUGAUUGCAGAAAGCUAAGUACCAACCAUGCCCGAAUAAUGAGCGGAUGCUUUGCAGAUUUUGUCUUCUGUAGACUGAAUACUGCUAGUGACAAUAAUAUCCAGGAGAGCACCUGUAUGCCUUCACCCAGAACAAAAGGAGUUGCAGUCUUCAAUCUCUGCCUGCAGCAUCUGAUUCGCUUGAACAGAAACUGAGCCAUGAUACUCGUGAUAAAUACCAGCUGUAUAUAUACAAAAGUGCUCGUCCAGAAACAAGGUCAUGGGCUACAAAUGCUGCCAUGUUUGUAUGCACAUUCUUGUGCGGUUUCUGCUCCAUGUCGGAAUACAAAAAGAAAACCAAGCAGACCCUUAUUAACAGGACCUGAAAUUUGUCAAGACUUACUCGGCGAAUCAUGGAGCAAGCCCGCCGUGUGGGCGAGGAACAUCUCCUGCAUCCUCUGGGGAAGAAGAAGAAGAAGAGGCGAGUGCAGCUGGCUCUUCCCUCCCUCCAUGGCGCGGUGAGGCCAAAUGCGAGUGAGAGACAGAGUUGAGGGGUGGUGAUCGACGGUGAGAUAUAUAUCGGAGGUGGAGCGACCCGAGGACCCGAUGGUGACGGGCACUUGGGCAGGCAAGGUUAGAGAGUGCAACAACAACAAAAAUGCUGAGCAGAGAAUUCAAAAUGAAUCAACGAGGCGACAAACUGACAGAGAAUUGCAUAUCAAAUUAAGGCAGCUGAUCCAAGCACAUGACGUUGGACGCCACCUAACCUAACGUGGAUGAAUGACGCACGAGGCCUUGGCCGUGAUCAGGUCAGAUUAAAACUAAGCGAGCGAGAGCCAGGUGGGGCAAGAAGAUACUCCCUCAGACCCAUAAUAUAAGAGCGUUUUUGACAUUAUGGCGACGGCGCAAGUGAAGUCUAGUCUCCUCAAUGAUUACACAAUAAUGCUUCCAUUUUCUAUUGGAGAAGGGCGUUUGCGUUGUAUGUAUAAUACGUAAGGACGAACGUGGUACCUUGGUUGCUACUCCAUCAACUCUUCAUGGUCAGUCAAU